GAUUAAGUUAUUAAGGGCGCACGGUGGAUGCCUUGGCACUAGAAGCCGAUGAAGGACGUUACUAACGACGAUAUGCUUUGGGGAGCUGUAAGUAAGCUUUGAUCCAGAGAUUUCCGAAUGGGGAAACCCAGCAUGAGUUAUGUCAUGUUAUCGAUAUGUGAAUACAUAGCAUAUCAGAAGGCACACCCGGAGAACUGAAACAUCUUAGUACCCGGAGGAAGAGAAAGAAAAUUCGAUUCCCUUAGUAGCGGCGAGCGAAACGGGAAGAGCCCAAACCAACAAGCUUGCUUGUUGGGGUUGUAGGACACUCUAUACGGAGUUACAAAGGACGACAUUAGACGAAUCAUCUGGAAAGAUGAAUCAAAGAAGGUAAUAAUCCUGUAGUCGAAAAUUUGUCUCUCUUGAGUGGAUCCUGAGUACGACGGAGCACGUGAAAUUCCGUCGGAAUCUGGGAGGACCAUCUCCUAAGGCUAAAUACUCUCUAGUGACCGAUAGUGAACCAGUACCGUGAGGGAAAGGUGAAAAGCACCCCGGAAGGGGAGUGAAAUAGAACCUGAAACCGUGUGCUUACAAGUAGUCAGAGCCCGUUAAUGGGUGAUGGCGUGCCUUUUGUAGAAUGAACCGGCGAGUUACGAUUUGAUGCAAGGUUAAGCAGUAAAUGUGGAGCCGUAGCGAAAGCGAGUCUGAAUAGGGCGUUUAGUAUUUGGUCGUAGACCCGAAACCAGGUGAUCUACCCUUGGUCAGGUUGAAGUUCAGGUAACACUGAAUGGAGGACCGAACCGACUUACGUUGAAAAGUGAGCGGAUGAACUGAGGGUAGCGGAGAAAUUCCAAUCGAACCUGGAGAUAGCUGGUUCUCUCCGAAAUAGCUUUAGGGCUAGCCUCAAGUGAUGAUUAUUGGAGGUAGAGCCACUGUUUGGACGAGGGGCCCCUCUCGGGUUACCGAAUUCAGACAAACUCCGAAUGCCAAUUAAUUUAACGUUGGGAGUCAGAACAUGGGUGAUAAGGUCCGUGUUCGAAAGGGAAACAGCCCAGACCACCAGCUAAGGUCCCCAAAUAUAUGUUAAGUGGAAAAGGAUGUGGCGUUGCCCAGACAACUAGGAUGUUGGCUUAGAAGCAGCCAUCAUUUAAAGAGUGCGUAAUAGCUCACUAGUCGAGUGACACUGCGCCGAAAAUGUACCGGGGCUAAACAUAUUACCGAAGCUGUGGAUUGUCCUUUGGACAAUGGUAGGAGAGCGUUCUAAGGGCGUUGAAGCAUGAUCGUAAGGACAUGUGGAGCGCUUAGAAGUGAGAAUGCCGGUGUGAGUAGCGAAAGACGGGUGAGAAUCCCGUCCACCGAUUGACUAAGGUUUCCAGAGAAGGCUCGUCCGCUCUGGGUUAGUCGGGUCCUAAGCUGAGGCCGACAGGCGUAGGCGAUGGAUAACAGGUUGAUAUUCCUGUACCACCUAUAAUCGUUUUAAUCGAUGGGGGGACGCAGUAGGAUAGGCGAAGCGUGCGAUUGGAUUGCACGUCUAAGCAGUAAGGCUGAGUAUUAGGCAAAUCCGGUACUCGUUAAGGCUGAGCUGUGAUGGGGAGAAGACAUUGAGUCUUCGAGUCGUUGAUUUCACACUGCCGAGAAAAGCCUCUAGAUAGAAAAUAGGUGCCCGUACCGCAAACCGACACAGGUAGUCAAGAUGAGAAUUCUAAGGUGAGCGAGCGAACUCUCGUUAAGGAACUCGGCAAAAUGACCCCGUAACUUCGGGAGAAGGGGUGCUCUUUAGGGUUAACGCCCAGAAGAGCCGCAGUGAAUAGGCCCAAGCGACUGUUUAUCAAAAACACAGGUCUCUGCUAAACCGUAAGGUGAUGUAUAGGGGCUGACGCCUGCCCGGUGCUGGAAGGUUAAGAGGAGUGGUUAGCUUCUGCGAAGCUACGAAUCGAAGCCCCAGUAAACGGCGGCCGUAACUAUAACGGUCCUAAGGUAGCGAAAUUCCUUGUCGGGUAAGUUCCGACCCGCACGAAAGGCGUAACGAUUUGGGCACUGUCUCAACGAGAGACUCGGUGAAAUCAUAGUACCUGUGAAGAUGCAGGUUACCCGCGACAGGACGGAAAGACCCCGUGGAGCUUUACUGUAGCCUGAUAUUGAAAUUCGGCACAGCUUGUACAGGAUAGGUAGGAGCCUUUGAAACGUGAGCGCUAGCUUACGUGGAGGCGCUGGUGGGAUACUACCCUAGCUGUGUUGGCUUUCUAACCCGCACCACUUAUCGUGGUGGGAGACAGUGUCAGGCGGGCAGUUUGACUGGGGCGGUCGCCUCCUAAAAGGUAACGGAGGCGCUCAAAGGUUCCCUCAGAAUGGUUGGAAAUCAUUCAUAGAGUGUAAAGGCAUAAGGGAGCUUGACUGCGAGACCUACAAGUCGAGCAGGGUCGAAAGACGGACUUAGUGAUCCGGUGGUUCCGCAUGGAAGGGCCAUCGCUCAACGGAUAAAAGCUACCCCGGGGAUAACAGGCUUAUCUCCCCCAAGAGUUCACAUCGACGGGGAGGUUUGGCACCUCGGAUGUCGGCUCAUCGCAUCCUGGGGCUGUAGUCGGUCCCAAGGGUUGGGCUGUUCGCCCAUUAAAGCGGUACGCGAGCUGGGUUCAGAACGUCGUGAGACAGUUCGGUCCCUAUCCGUCGUGGGCGUAGGAAAUUUGAGAGGAGCUGUCCUUAGUACGAGAGGACCGGGAUGGACAUACCUCUGGUGUACCAGUUGUCGUGCCAACGGCAUAGCUGGGUAGCUAUGUGUGGACGGGAUAAGUGCUGAAAGCAUCUAAGCAUGAAGCCCCCCUCAAGAUGAGAUUUCCCAACUUCGGUUAUAAGAUCCCUCAAAGAUGAUGAGGUUAAUAGGUUCGAGGUGGAAGCAUGGUGACAUGUGGAGCUGACGAAUACUAAUCGAUCGAAGACUUAAUCAA
rnacentral:rRNA from 1 species